rnacentral:rRNA from 1 species
UCAAGUGAAGAAGCGCAUACGGUGGAUGCCUUGGCAGUCAGAGGCGAUGAAAGACGUGGUAGCCUGCGAAAAGCUUCGGGGAGUCGGCAAACAGACUUUGAUCCGGAGAUCUCUGAAUGGGGGAACCCACCUAGGAUAACCUAGGUAUCUUGUACUGAAUCCAUAGGUGCAAGAGGCGAACCAGGGGAACUGAAACAUCUAAGUACCCUGAGGAAAAGAAAUCAACCGAGAUUCCCUUAGUAGUGGCGAGCGAACGGGGAUUAGCCCUUAAGCUUCAUUGAUUUUAGCGGAACGCUCUGGAAAGUGCGGCCAUAGUGGGUGAUAGCCCCGUACGCGAAAGGAUCUUUGAAGUGAAAUCGAGUAGGACGGAGCACGAGAAACUUUGUCUGAACAUGGGGGGACCAUCCUCCAAGGCUAAAUACUACUGACUGACCGAUAGUGAACCAGUACCGUGAGGGAAAGGCGAAAAGAACCCCGGAGAGGGGAGUGAAAUAGAACCUGAAACCGUAUGCGUACAAGCAGUGGGAGCCUACUUGUUAGGUGACUGCGUACCUUUUGUAUAAUGGGUCAGCGACUUAUAUUCAGUGGCAAGCUUAACCGUAUAGGGUAGGCGUAGCGAAAGCGAGUCUUAAUAGGGCGUUUAGUCGCUGGGUAUAGACCCGAAACCGGGCGAUCUAUCCAUGAGCAGGUUGAAGGUUAGGUAACACUGACUGGAGGACCGAACCCACUCCCGUUGAAAAGGUAGGGGAUGACUUGUGGAUCGGAGUGAAAGGCUAAUCAAGCUCGGAGAUAGCUGGUUCUCCUCGAAAGCUAUUUAGGUAGCGCCUCAUGUAUCACUCUGGGGGGUAGAGCACUGUUUCGGCUAGGGGGUCAUCCCGACUUACCAAACCGAUGCAAACUCCGAAUACCCAGAAGUGCCGAGCAUGGGAGACACACGGCGGGUGCUAACGUCCGUCGUGAAAAGGGAAACAACCCAGACCGCCAGCUAAGGUCCCAAAGUUGUGGUUAAGUGGUAAACGAUGUGGGAAGGCUUAGACAGCUAGGAGGUUGGCUUAGAAGCAGCCAUCCUUUAAAGAAAGCGUAAUAGCUCACUAGUCGAGUCGGCCUGCGCGGAAGAUGUAACGGGGCUCAAACCACACACCGAAGCUGCGGGUGUCACGUAAGUGACGCGGUAGAGGAGCGUUCUGUAAGCCUGUGAAGGUGAGUUGAGAAGCUUGCUGGAGGUAUCAGAAGUGCGAAUGCUGACAUGAGUAACGACAAUGGGUGUGAAAAACACCCACGCCGAAAGACCAAGGGUUCCUGCGCAACGUUAAUCGACGCAGGGUUAGUCGGUUCCUAAGGCGAGGCUGAAAAGCGUAGUCGAUGGGAAACAGGUUAAUAUUCCUGUACUUCUGGUUACUGCGAUGGAGGGACGGAGAAGGCUAGGCCAGCUUGGCGUUGGUUGUCCAAGUUUAAGGUGGUAGGCUGAAAUCUUAGGUAAAUCCGGGGUUUCAAGGCCGAGAGCUGAUGACGAGUCGUCUUUUAGAUGACGAAGUGGUUGAUGCCAUGCUUCCAAGAAAAGCUUCUAAGCUUCAGGUAACCAGGAACCGUACCCCAAACCGACACAGGUGGUCGGGUAGAGAAUACCAAGGCGCUUGAGAGAACUCGGGUGAAGGAACUAGGCAAAAUGGCACCGUAACUUCGGGAGAAGGUGCGCCGGCUAGGGUGAAGGAUUUACUCCGUAAGCUCUGGCUGGUCGAAGAUACCAGGCCGCUGCGACUGUUUAUUAAAAACACAGCACUCUGCAAACACGAAAGUGGACGUAUAGGGUGUGACGCCUGCCCGGUGCCGGAAGGUUAAUUGAUGGGGUUAGCGCAAGCGAAGCUCUUGAUCGAAGCCCCGGUAAACGGCGGCCGUAACUAUAACGGUCCUAAGGUAGCGAAAUUCCUUGUCGGGUAAGUUCCGACCUGCACGAAUGGCGUAACGAUGGCGGCGCUGUCUCCACCCGAGACUCAGUGAAAUUGAAAUCGCUGUGAAGAUGCAGUGUAUCCGCGGCUAGACGGAAAGACCCCGUGAACCUUUACUGUAGCUUUGCACUGGACUUUGAGCCUGCUUGUGUAGGAUAGGUGGGAGGCUUUGAAGCGUGGACGCCAGUUCGCGUGGAGCCAUCCUUGAAAUACCACCCUGGCAUGCUUGAGGUUCUAACUCUGGUCCGUAAUCCGGAUCGAGGACAGUGUAUGGUGGGCAGUUUGACUGGGGCGGUCUCCUCCUAAAGAGUAACGGAGGAGUACGAAGGUGCGCUCAGACCGGUCGGAAAUCGGUCGCAGAGUAUAAAGGCAAAAGCGCGCUUGACUGCGAGACAGACACGUCGAGCAGGUACGAAAGUAGGUCUUAGUGAUCCGGUGGUUCUGUAUGGAAGGGCCAUCGCUCAACGGAUAAAAGGUACUCCGGGGAUAACAGGCUGAUACCGCCCAAGAGUUCAUAUCGACGGCGGUGUUUGGCACCUCGAUGUCGGCUCAUCACAUCCUGGGGCUGAAGCCGGUCCCAAGGGUAUGGCUGUUCGCCAUUUAAAGUGGUACGCGAGCUGGGUUUAGAACGUCGUGAGACAGUUCGGUCCCUAUCUGCCGUGGACGUUUGAGAUUUGAGAGGGGCUGCUCCUAGUACGAGAGGACCGGAGUGGACGAACCUCUGGUG